CAGCCGCCGCGUGAAUACGAAGGGUGCAAGCGUUACUCGGAAUUACUGGGCGUAAAGCGUGCGUAGGUGGUGGUUUAAGUCCGUUGUGAAAGCCCUGGGCUCAACCUGGGAAUUGCAGUGGAUACUGGGUCACUAGAGUGUGGUAGAGGAUAGUGGAAUUUCCGGUGUAGCAGUGAAAUGCGUAGAGAUCGGAAGGAACAUCUGUGGCGAAGGCGACCAUCUGGGACAACACUGACGCUGAGGCACGAAAGCGUGGGGAGCAAACAGGAUUAGAUACCCCCGUAGUCCCUGUCUCUUAUAC
rnacentral:rRNA from 1 species